AUGAAAUUGUAUUUGCUUCCCGCUUUCUAUCUCGCUGAGCGCAGCUGGGCUGUGUUUACAAGCAGCCUGAAUUCCAAUGAGUUUCUCGCCAGUUGGCCACCAAGGAGAUGGUUGGGGCUGAGUGGAGACCACAGCUCUGGGCACGGGCGUCCGCACGAACAAAGGAGAGGGACCCUGCUCCUGUCCCCCCAGCCACGCAGAAGAUUUCCCCGGGGAGGGGGCUUACCCUCUGCGGGCGCCGAGCCCCGCCCACAAGCCUGGCGUGUCCGCACCCACGGGGCGGCGUGCGCGCGCCCUCUGGAUCCGUGCCCGGGGCGGGCCAUCCGGAGCGCUGCGACCGUUUUCGCGAGGAGGAGGAGCUGGUGUUUCCACCUGGCCGCCUCCGGAUUGUUGCUUCCCUGGUUCUCCAGGAUCUGGAAGUGGCAGCUUGUGAUUUCAAUACCAAAGAGAGCCGAGGGCGCGCAGAGGCAGAGCCACCUCCACUAGCAGGGAGCCCCCAGAGACCCUCGGGUCGAUAAGCAACAGCGGACGCAGGGCUCUUCUUUUCAAGGAGUUAUGCCGGCUGAAUGUACUGCUUCGUAAGUGCCAAUGUCCCGUGACUCGGGGGGGGGGGGGCAGGCUUCGCAGCUGUGACACUG
rnacentral:lncRNA from 1 species